rnacentral:rRNA from 1 species
UACGUAGGGUGCGAGCGUUGUCCGGAUUUAUUGGGCGUAAAGAGCUUGUAGGCGGCUCGUCGCGUCGGGUGUGAAAACUUGCGGCUUAACCGCAAGCCUGCACCCGAUACGGGCGGGCUAGAGUUCGGCAGGGGAGACUGGAAUUCCUGGUGUAGCGGUGGAAUGCGCAGAUAUCAGGAGGAACACCGGUGGCGAAGGCGGUUCUCUGGGCAUUACCUGACGCUGAGGAGCGAAAGUGUGGGGAGCGAACAGG